GUUAUUUUGGCAGAUUAGUGCUAUAGAUUUAGAAUCUUUAUAUGUAAAAUUAUUACAAAUAAUA
rnacentral:tRNA from 1 species